rnacentral:rRNA from 1 species
CCUACGGGUGGCAGCAGUGAGGAAUAUUGGGCAAUGGAGGCAACUCUGACCCAGCCAUGCCGCGUGAGUGAAGAAGGUUUUCGGAUUGUAAAGCUCUUUCGGAUGUGACGAUGAUGACGGUAGCAUCUAAAGAAGCCCCGGCUAACUUCGUGCCAGCAGCCGCGGUAAUACGAAGGGGGCAAGCGUUGUUCGGAAUUACUGGGCGUAAAGGGAGUGUAGGCGGUUUAGUAAGAUAGUGGUGAAAUCCCAGAGCUUAACUUUGGAAUUGCCAUUAUAACUAUUAGACUAGAAUUACAGAGAGGAUAGUGGAAUACCUGGUGUAGAGGUGAAAUGCGUAGAGAUUGGACAGAACACCAGUGGCGAAGGCGACUAUCUGGCUGUACAUUGACGCUGAGGCUCGAAAGCAUGGGGAGCAAACAGGAUUAGAUACCCCAGUAGUC